rnacentral:lncRNA from 1 species
GGUAUAUUGUGCAAAUUAAUAUAACAAGUAGCAAAUGGGUAUAACUAGACUCGAUUCAGCAUUCCCUCCCCACAACAACAACACACCUUUUUCAUAGUUGUGAACACUUUCUCAAAACUGUCUUUCAUCUCUUCUUUAAAGGUUUCCCAUCUGUUGGGAAUGAGAAGACCAUGCCAGCUGGGAAAGGGUUUGGAUCCUAGAGGGUGGGGCUCCAUAAUUUAAGAAUAAAAGCAGCCCUGUUUGUGUUGUAUGCAUAUCCAAAAUGUGUGUGAUACCUGCUGUCUGGGCUAUUCCAAGCCUGACCAUCUGUUUCUAUUUUUUGCUAUGGAGCUGCUCUGGUAGGAUGCAGUCCUGCCCAAGUUUUCACUGUCUUCUCAUUCCCAGGAGCCUUGGGGUGGUGUUCCCAUUUUACAGGUGGAAAACUUGAGCAUGGAGAGAGGCAGUAACAAGAAGUGGAUGGCAGGCCACAGGUCUCUUUAGGCUCCAGCCAAGCACUUCAGCCCUUUUUUUGUGAUUUUUCUGUUCAGUGCUGGCACCUGUACAAUGCUCCAGGCAACUGGGGCAGCAGAUCUUCCCCUCGAAAGUGAAACUCAACCUGAUGCUCCUCAUUCACAUCGGUUCCAGCUAAUGUCUCUCUUAACCCUUUGUUUCUUAGACUGGCAUACAAGGAGUUUGCCAUCUUAUCAGCUGUCAACACUAUCUCACCUAGUUUUUAAAACGGAUGCUAUUUAUUUAUUUAUUUUUCCUUCCCACAGGUACGAUCCCAAAGCGAACGAAUGGAGCUGUGCUGUGGCCCUGCUGCAGGAAAGCAAGCGAGAUGUGGGAUUGGCAGAGCUGGGCGGUUACCGCUACUGUGUAGGCGGUCAUGAUGGAUUGCUCUGCCUUAGCACGGUGGAAAGAGAGGUCAGCUGA